AUGAAUGAACCGCGUCGUCGACGUCCGGGCAAAGCUGCGCCGUCGUAUGGUGAUUUUGAUGGCUUGUUUAGUGUUCAGAUCCACCACAAGGGUUUCUUCUGUGGGAGUGAGAGCAACAAGACUUACAUGGAUUAUGAGGUUGACUGGUUUGACAUGUGUGAGAGUGACACAUGGUCAAUGUUAUGGAUCAAGGAUUUUCUUUCACAACUGGGACAUGACAUGGAAGCCUCCAAAUUAGAUGUGUAUUGGUGCCAACUAGGGAAGACCGUUGCUGAUGGGCUUAAGCUUAUGCAAUGUGAUGCAGAUAUUGUUCUUAUGAUUAUUGCAACAAUAGAGCACAAGAACCUACUGCUUGUAGUAGAUCAUGGUGAAACUUUGCAGUCAUCAGAUGAUGAUGUUUUGAUUACUGGAGUUGGUUGUCACAUCAAAACAAGAUAUAAGGGGAAUAUAUUGACAGCAGUUGGGAUUGAUCCAAAUGAUUGUAUCUUCCCUAUAGCAUUUGGCAUAUGUGAAGUGGAGUCAACACACAGUUGGGAGUGGUUUCUAGCCUCUUUGAAGGAUGACCUGAAUAUAAUCAAUACAUCAACAUUCACCAUUAUGAGUGGCAGACAGAAGGGUUUGACGAAUGCUGUGAAGAAACUUUUCCCUGAUUCAGAACAUAGGAACUAUGUUAGGCACAUUUACCAAAAUUUCCACAAAGUACACAAGGGUGAACAACUGAAGAAUGACCUCUGGGCCAUAGCAAGAUCCACUAAUGAAGCUGCCUACACCAGAAACAUGGAUAAGAUGAGAGAUCACAGCUUUACAGCAUUCAAUUGGGUUGAGAACUUGUCCCCAAGAACUUGGAUCAAAGCUUUCUUUGACCCUUUCUGCAAGUGUGAUAUAUUGCUGAAUAACAUGUGUGAGGUGUUUAACAGCUACAUUUUGGAUGGUAGAGAGUUGCCAAUUAAAUCAAUGCUGGAUUACAUCUUCUGGAAGAUUUCAAAUAGGAUGGUUGGUAAGCAAGGGAGGCAGAAAAGUGGACAGGCAGGCUUUGCCCCAAGAUACAGAAGAAGCUGGACAAGUAUGUUGAGUGGGCAAAAAAUUGCAGGGUGA
rnacentral:rRNA from 1 species